UACAGAGGUGCCGAGCGUUAUGCGGAAUCACUGGGCUUAAAGCGUGUGUAGGCGGAUGCCUAAGUACCUUGUGAGAUCCCACGGCUCAACCGUGGAACUGCUUGGUAUACUGGGUGUCUUGAGCUAUCUAGGGGCAACUGGAACAAACGGUGGAGCGGUGAAAUGCGUAGAUAUCGUUUGGAACGCCAAUGGUGAAAACAGGUUGCUGGGGAUAUGCUGACGCUGAGACACGAAAGCCAGGGGAGCAAACGGG
rnacentral:rRNA from 1 species